CCUGCCGCGCGAGAAGUCGCAGCCAUUCUUGCAAAUCUGUGCUCUGGACUGGAUCUGCCGCCUACUUCUAGCGCCAGCGACGCCGAUGUGAUUUCAGUGCCUGUGCCCGGCUCGACUCCUUCGAAUUCUACCGCUUCCUUGUCAGGGAAAGAUUCCGCUGGUGAUCUCCAGAACGAGAGCGAGGCAAGAAUCCAGGCGCCAGAGAAUGGAGGUCCGGAAGAUGAGCUUGAAACCAGAGACGAUGACGAGCAAGGUCGGUUUUAGAUUUG